GACAGAGGAGCCAAGCGUUGUCCGGAUUGACUGGGCGUAAAGCGCACGCAGGCGGCCGCGCGCGUGGGGUGUGAAAUCUGGCCGCUUAACGGCCAGGCGCCAUCCCAUACGGCGCGACUGGAGUGAUGCAGAGGUCGGUGGAAUUGCCGGUGUAGUGGUGAAAUGCGUAGAGAUCGGCAGGAACACCCAGGGGGAAACCAGUCGACUGGGCAUCUACUGACGCUGAGGUGCGAGAGCGUGGGGAGCGAACCGG
rnacentral:rRNA from 1 species